rnacentral:rRNA from 1 species
AUGAACGCUAGCGGCAGGCUUAAUACAUGCAAGUUGAGGGGCAGCAUGAUAUACGCGAGUAUAUUGAUGGCGACCGGCGGACGGGUGAGUAAUAGGUAGGAGACCUACCUCAUACAGGGGGAUAGCAUAGAGAAAUCUGUGGUAAUACCCCAUGAGGUUAUAUGAAUAGAGGCAUAUAAUCAAAGCAUAAGCGAUUAUGCGGUAUGAGAGGGGCCUACUGACCAUUAGCUAGUUGGUGAGGUAAGGGCUCACCGAGGCGAAGAUGGUUAGGGGUUUUGAGAGAGAGACCCCCCACAUUGGAACUGAGAGACGGUCCAGACUCCUACGGGAGGCAGCAGUAGGGAAUAUUGGGCAAUGGGCGAAAGCCUGACCCAGCCAUGCCGCGUGAAGGAAGACGGCCUUAUGGGUUGUAAACUUCUUUACUACGCGAAUAGAGGUUAGUACGAGAUACUAAUAGGAAGGUAGUGUAGUAAAAAGCACCGGCUAACUCCGUG